GCCUCACAGCCAGGGACAACAUUUAGAAAUGAAUGCUAAUACCUGAUAUUAUGAUUUUAAGGUCAUCUUAGAAUUAUGAAAGCUAUAAGCACUGUGAGAGAGCUUUGCGUCCCAUUAGCUAGUUGGAGAGGUAACAGCUCACCAAGGCGAUGAUGGGUAGCCGGCCUGAGAGGGUGAACGGCCACAAGGGGACUGAGACACGGCCCUU
rnacentral:rRNA from 1 species